rnacentral:rRNA from 1 species
GGGCGUAGGAAAUUUGAGAGGAGCUGUCCUUAGUACGAGAGGACCUGGAUGGACGUACCGCUGGUGUACCAGUUGUUCCGCCAGGAGCACCGCUGGGUAGCUAUGUACGGAAGGGAUAAGCGCUGAAAGCAUCUAAGCGUGAAGCCCCCCUCAAGAUGAGAUUUCCCAAUUAGUAAGACCCCUUGAAGACGACGAGGUAGAUAGGUUGGGGGUGGAAGUGCAGUAAUGCAUGGAGCUGACCAAUACUAAUCGGUCGAGGGCUUAUCCUAAAGAUAAGACGCAAUGAGUU